UAGUCCACGCCGUAAACGAUGAUAACUAGCUGUCCGAACCCACAGGGUUUGGGUGGCGCAGCUAACGCAUUAAGUUAUCCGCCUGGGGAGUACGGUCGCAAGAUUAAAACUCAAAGGAAUUGACGGGGGCCUGCACAAGCGGUGGAGCAUGUGGUUUAAUUCGACGCAACGCGCAGAACCUUACCAGCUUUUGACAUCCUGGUCGCGGAUUUGGGAGACCAUUUCCUUCAGUUCGGCUGGACCAGUGACAGGUGCUGCAUGGCUGUCGUCAGCUCGUGUCGUGAGAUGUUGGGUUAAGUCCCGCAACGAGCGCAACCCUCAUUCUUUAGUUGCCAGCAUUUAGUUGGGCACUCUAAAGAGACUGCCGACGUUAAGUCGGAGGAAGGUGGGGGAUGACGUCAAGUCCUCAUGGCCCUUAUACUCCAGGGCUACACACGUGCUACAAUGGUAGGUACAAAGAGCAGCUAAACCGCGAGGUCAUGCGAAUCUCAUAAACGCCUAUCU
rnacentral:rRNA from 1 species